rnacentral:Y_RNA from 1 species
GGCUGGUCCGAAGAUAGUGAGUUAUCUCACUGGAUUGUUCACAGUUACAAAUUGAACUUUUUGUUCUAUUACUUUCCCCUGUCCUCACUACUGCACUAGACUGGUCUUAA